rnacentral:lncRNA from 1 species
UAGUAAUUUGAUUGAGUUCAUAUUUUGUAUAAGGUUUGCUCUAUGAGCAAACUUAAGUGAGUAGAAGGAGGGUGUUGCGGUGGUGGUAAUGUGACUGAGGGGUUGGCUUGGCGGCGGGAGGAGUUGAUGAAGAAGCAUUGAGGAUGGGUACGUUGAAGAACUGUAGAUAAAUUGGAGAUAAUGGUGGAAGAAAGAGAAAAAUGUAGAGAUAGUUAAUGGUGAGAGAAAUAGUAAGAUGGGUACGUUGAAGAUAAUGGUGGAAGAAAGAGAAAAAUGUGGAGAUAGUUAAGGGUGAGAGAAAUAAGAAGAGAGAGGAAAAAAAUGUAGAUUCAACUUCACGCCGUUACAAACUAUUUAAUGGAAGGGACUUAUUAAAACCAAAAUCAGAAACUUGGGAGCCCAAUUAAAUCACUUUUAAAAGCGGGUAUCAAACGGAAAUUCAGCCCCAAACUUGGGGACUAAAUAGGUAUUUAAGCCUAUAAAUUACUACAACUACACGAACACUCUCUGGGUGAUGAAAUGGAAAAUGUUUGUUAACGAAAGUGGAGGGGGUGGAAGGGGGAUGUUUGUUAACGGAAGUGGAGGGAGGGAGGGGGUGNGGGCUUACCGGUGAAAGUGAGAGCGAAAGGAAAAGUGAAAGUGAGAAAGGAUUAGAAUUAGGGUUUUAAAAAUUAACAAGUAAAAUUAGUAAAAGUAAAAAGUAAAAAAAGUAGAUUUGAAGUUUUAGAAAAACUGGAGAGGUGUAGGGAGAAGAUUGGAUGGUGGAGAAGGCAUCACUCAUAUCAAAAAGGGUUGGGUUGGAUUGCUAAUUGAAAGUCUAAUUAAUAUCACAUGAAAACAAAUUAAAAUCUUAAUUUUUUACAUGAAAGCGAGCUGAUGAUAAGUUGUCGGGUUAACUCUACUGACCAUACUUUUAAUGUGAAGUAUAAGUUUAAUAUUGUUAACAUUUUUAAUAAAAAAUAUCAAUUUUAUUGAAACUAUUAUUAUACGUGUAUAUAAAAAAGUUAAAUUUUCUUAACUUUGAGAGAGACGAAAUUGCCCUAAUUUUUUUUUAAAAUAUGAUUAAAUUAAGAUAAAAUACAAAUAAAAUAAUUAAAUUGAAAUUUUACUCAUGACAUUAUUUUCAUAGUAACACGUGAUAUUAUCAUUACACAUAACAAGAUCCUCAUUUUGACACAUAACAAAGUUUUUUAUUAAAAUAUAUAAAUAAAUAAAUUUAAAAAAAAAAUAACACGGAAUGACAGUAAGUUAAUGUUGUUAAUAUUAUAAUAACAGAAAUAAUCAAAGUGAGAACUUGAUUGAGAUUUCAAUACAACCACAAAGAUUAUGGGA